GUAGAGGAGCUGCUUGACUUAAUGAGUCAGUUGUACUGUCCACUAGUGUCAGGAGGAAAUUUCCUUUAGUUUUAAACAAAAGUUGUUUUAUAUAAAGUGGUGCAUAGAGAUUGGCUUAAGAAACCAUUUUUAUCUUCUUUUAUUUACUUAUUCAUUUUUUGCAGGUUGGACAAGCUCAGAAACCAUUUUUAAAUUUCUGGUCCAUCCAUGUGUAUGAAUAUACUAUAUUAUUUAUUUGAUACAUAGUUGUAUAAAAAGUCUGGCUAUAUAUAUUCUUAGUGCUUAGACUUUCUAAAGAAUAAGCCAUAAAUAGGAAAUAAAAAAGAAAAUACAAGCAGCACAUUGUUAUGUGGAAAAAUGCUUCAACUCAGCAAGAAUACAGAAAGAAAAUCAAAGCAAAAUAACUUCACUGUAUGGUGACACAUCUACUGAACUGGCAAUCAUAAAUCAAACUUGAAAAGUCAGUGCUGGCAGAUGAGGAGCAGGGACCAGGCCAUGUAUUAAAUGUCACUUGGGUGCUGGCUUCUGACCAGCAAGUGCUUACCUGGAGGAGAUAGAGGAGUCCUGGGACAAACAAGGUGAGUGGGUACAGAGACUGGUAUGUCGCUAAGGCAAGAAAAAUAGCACUGAGGAAAGCACUGCCUGUAAAAAGAAAGAAAUGUAUGGAAUAAUCCAGCCUCAUCAAUCAUGAUUAGACUCAGCAAGUCCCUCUCAACACAAAACUUUCCAUAACUGCUCAAAUAAUCACCUGCCAAGUGCCUCCUGGUACACAAGGUGCUAUGCAAAUUCACACAGUAAGAGCUUCUUGGCUUGAUUUCCAAUGAAAGGAAACCAAGAAAGUCAAAACCAUCUACCUUUGGCAACCUGAGACACUACAGGCAUAAUUCUUAUAAAAUUUUGAGACCCAGAACGAUUUUACAAAAUUUCAACCCGAAGAUGUAUAAAGGGAUCAAGUCUAUUAACAUCCAUGUCCUAUCUAAUGUACCAAUUUAUUAAGCCUACAAUUAUUGCUUAUGAUAUCCAGAGCUGGAAACCCAUCCCUUUGACUGUUGCAACAUUAUCACUCUUUACAACAGCCCUUCCUUACCUGCUGCAUCAAUUUAGGUCACGUUUUUUCUUUUCAAAUGAAAGUAUAUUAAUUUUGUUAGUAAUGUCCUCACUUCCUAUAUAAAAUGGACUACUAUGGAAUCAUUAAACAUGAGGCUAUUAAGAAUUUGCAAUGACUUAGAAAGGUGUUUAUAAUAUCCUAUUAAAUGAAGUUUAUAAAAGAGACAUAUAUUAUCAUUUAUUUUAUAAAAAAAAAAUGCACAAACAUUUUUUAAAAGACGAAAAGCCAGCAGGCAAAGUAACUCACGCCUAUAAUCCCAGCACUUCGAGAGGCCGAGUCAGGCAGAUCAAGAUCAGGAGUUCGAGACCAGCCUAGCCAACAUGGUGAAACCUCGUCUCUACUAAAAAUACAAACAUUAGCCAGGCGUAGUGGUGGUGACCUGUAAUCCCAGCUACUCAGGAGGCUGAGGCAGAAGAAUUGCUUGAAACUGGGAGGCAGAGGUUGCAGUGAGCUGAGAUUGUACCACAGCACUCCAGCCUGGGUGUCCAGGCAAAAGUUUGCAGUAGGGGGCGGAGCCCUCAUGGAGAACCUCUGCUAGGGCAAUGCGGAAGCGAAAUGUGGGGUCGGAGCCCCCACACAGAGUCCCUACUGGGGCACCACCCAGUGGAGCUGAGAAGAGGGUCACUGUCCUCCAGAUUCCAGAAUGGUAGAUCCACCGACAGCUUGCACCGUGGGCCUGGAAAAGCCACAGACACUCAACACCAGCCUGUGAAAGCAGCUGAGAGGGAGGCUAUACCCUGCAAAGCCACAAGGGUGGAGCUGCCCAAGACCAUGGGAACCCCCCUCUUACAUCAGCAUGACCCAGAUGUGAGACAUGGAGUCAAAGAAGAUCAUUUUGGAACUUUAAGAUUUGUCUGCCCUGCUGGAUUUCCAACUUGCAUGAGGCCUGUAGCCCCUUUGGUUUGGCCAAUUUCUCCUAUUUGUAACGGAUGUAUUUACCCAAUGCCUAUACCCCCAUUGUAUCUAGGAAGUAACUAAUUUGCUUUUGAUUUUACAGGCUCACAGGCGGAAGGCACUUGCCUUGUCUCAGAUGAGACUUUGGGCUGUGCACUUUUGGGUUAAUGCUGAAAUGAGUUAAGACUUUGGGGGACUGUUGGAAGGGCAUGAUUGGUUUUGAAAUGUGAGGACAUGAGAUUUGGAGGGGCUGAGGCAGAAUGAUAUGGUUUGGCUGUGUCCUCACCCAAAUCUCAACUUGAAUUGUAUCUCCCAGAAUUCCCAUGUAAUGUGGGAGGGACCCAGGGGAAGGUAAUUGAAUCAUGGGAGUUGCUGGUCUUUCCCAUGCUAUUCUCGUAAUAGUGAAUGAGUCUCACAAGAUCUAAUGGUUUAUCAGGGGUUUCCGCUUUUGCUUUUUCCUCAUUCUCUCUUGCCACCACCAUGUAAGAAAUGCCUUUUGCCCUCCACCAUGAUUGUGAGACCUUCCCCAGCCAUGUGGAACUAUAAGUUCAAUUAAACCUCUUUCUUUCGUAAAUUGCCCAGUCUCGGACUACCAAAAAAAAUAAAAUAAAUAAAUAGAAGACUAAAACCUAAGGCCACAAAGUUUAUAGUGGUUAUCUCUGGGUAGUGGAAUUAUGAACAAUUUUUCAUUUUUGCUUCACUGCAUUUUUUAAACUUUCUAAAAUGAACAUGCUUUGUUUUUGUCAUUAGAAAAAAGCUAAUUUCUUUGAAAAAAUAGCUAUUCCCUUUCAGAUGGCUUAAGACAACAGGAUACUCUAAAACUAAGGAUAGAGAGCCCUAGUUUACAACAGGAGUUUCCAAGUGGCCCAGAAAUCAGUAGGAUGCAACUGAUGGUCCAAGAUAUAAAGCCCAACAGGUGUCUUGUAAUGAUGUUUUUUAAAAUGACAAUACCCAUGCUCACUCUCAUUAGUGUGGGGUCAACUAUUUACUGAAAAUAACAGGCGGGGCAUGGUGGUUCACAAAUGUAAUCCCAGCACUUUGAAAGGCAAAGGUGGGAGGACUGUUUGAACCCAGGAGUUACAGACUAGCUUGGGCAACAUAGUAAAACCCCAUCUCUACAAAAAUAAAAAUAAAAAAAUAAGCUGGGUGUGGUGUUACACACCUGUGGUCCCAGCUACUUAGGAGGCUGAGGUGGGAGGAUCACUUAAGCCCUAGAGGUUGAGGCUGCAGUGAGCUAAGACUGAACCACUGCACUCCAGCCUGGGUGACAGAGUAAGACCCUGUUUCAAAUAAAAAAAUAAAAAUAACACAUCCUCUCAAUGGUGUUUCAUAAAAGGAGGAACUAGUCACUCCAGUCCAAGGAGUUUUACCCCUCUGCUAAUCCAGCUCUAGAGACAAACAGGAAGAGAUUAUUGAUGAGAUCUUUCACCACCAAAGUGGUCUGUAUACUUGAAACAUCUAAAAACUACCUUGGAGGACAGACGGUUAUAAAUGUGACAAUGUCACAGACGAGAGAGUGGAGAGAAAAGAACUUUGUGUGCUUUAUUCUUCAAACCAAGGAAACUCACCAGCUAGAACAACCCUAGUUGACAGAAAGUAGAAGGGAGGCAGAGAAAGAGAGAAGCUAGAAGUAAUAGGACAGAAUUCUAUGGGAAGGGGGGCUGUCUCGCCAUAUUGACAGUGCCAGUCAUGAUGUCCUGUAUCCAGGGUACUCAUAAAUAUGACUGUGUAGGAACAGGAUCACGCCCAGCUAAGCUGUGACACCAGCAGUGGCAAGCACACAUCUGCUGAGCCACAGACUCUAAACUCAGAACCAGGUCACUCUGGGAUAGGGCAGUGGCAGUAGUAGGAAAGGUGCUGUUCUGGAGCCCAACAGCUAGGGUGGGCUAGGGAUUGAUUCUUUGAUUGGGUCAAAAAUCUGAAUGAUUUUUUGGUGGGAAACUGGCCAAGAGAGGGAAAACACUGAAAAUAACUUUUUAACUUAACCUGGUUCUCUACGGAUUGAAAGCAGGCGAGAGAAGAGGCCCAUGUGUCUGUUACUAGAGGAUGGAGGCUAAUGCUCCAACUCCAUCCAUUCCUAUAGCAUGGUGAAAACAAACACAUGACUUUCUCCUGUCUCUCCCAGAGGAGACACAAGGAGUGAAAUCAACACAGCCAUCUCUUGCCCUAAUUGCCUGAGGUUAAUAAUUGCUUGUCUGAAACUGACUGUUUAUGAGGCCCAAGAGAGAAAAAGAGGCUCACAGCCUAGCCAAAUGGACUUGUGAGUUUUAGAAUACUUGCUCCUAGGAUCAGGAAGAAGCAGUCUUCCUUCCAUAGACUGAAGUAGUCUUUGGGAAGGAAAAAUCUGUUCCUCCUGCUAUUCUUUGUCAGUAACUGGCAUCAACAUCUAGCCAGAUACCCUGGCAACCCUUCACCCUUCAGCUCCCAUGUUCUUCCUUCCACCAGUCACCAAGCCCUGUGGAUCCACCCCUGGAGCAUUUAUCCUUUCAGUUCUUGCUCUUGUCAUCUCUCUCCAGCAGCUUUUCCCCCUCCUCCUUAGCGGUCUCCCAACCACCUCCCAUCCAAGUCCAUCUACAGAAGCACCAAAGGAACCUUCUAAAACAGUUUAGAUUGUGGCUAGCCAGUCUUUAAAGACUUCUGAUGGUUCCAUUUCAUCUAUCAGGUUAAGUCUAAACUCCAACAGCAAACAAGACCCUUCACCACUGGGUCUCAUUUCUCCAGUUUCACCUCUCACCACUCUUCCACACACGCCCUGUCCUCCAGCUACACUGGACUAUUCCCAAUUUCUGAAAACAUCAUGCUGUUUCAUUCUUCUGUGUCUGUUCUUAGGCUAUUCCUUCUGCCCAAGCCAUCCUUCUCUGCCCGCUUUCUAGUAGAAAGCAUUCGUUUGAUAGCCAGGUGAAAGGUCACUUUGUCUAUGAGCCCAAGCAAAGGUGGUAACAACCGUUGAUUAUAGUUGACAUUUAUGGAUCACUUGCUAGGUGCCAGGCACUGUACUGUAUCCUCUGCAUCAAGAACAGUUCCUGACUUGGACAGGCGCGGUGGCUCAUGCCUGUAAUCCCAGCACUUUGGGAGGCUGAGGCGGGCGGAUCACGAGGUCGGGAGAUCGAGACCAUCCUGACUAACACGGUGAAACCCUGUUUCUACUAAAAAUACAAAAAAUUAGCCGGGCAUGGUGGUGGGAGCCUAUAGUCCCAGCUACUCGGGAGGCUGAGGCAGGAGAAUGGCGUGAACCCGGGAGGCAGAGCUUGCAGUGAGCCGAGAUCGCGCCACUGCACGCGACACAGCAAGACUCCACCUAAAAAAAAACAAAAAAAAAACAAAAAAAAAAAAACAAAAAAAACAGUUCCUGACUCAAAAAGGUCCUCAGGAAACAUCACAACAGCCCUGUGAAAGCUCUAUUUCUGCUUCUUAGAACAGCUUUACUGAGAUAAAAACCACACAUUCUACCCAUUUUACAGGUCAAGAAAUCAAGACAGAAACAGAAAGCUUCAGUAAUGUGACCAAAACCACAUAGCUGACUCCGGUACCCACUCUUAAUCCCUGUGUUAAUAAGCCUAAUACUGAUGCUAUCUUAUAAUAAUCUGCAUAUGUUUCUCUCUCUCCCCAUUUCUCUGUGAGUUUCUCAAGGGCAACACAUUUAUCUUAACUUUGGCUCUCCAGCACCUAGUACAGUUCCUGGCACAUGUGAUAAAUGAACAAAUGAAGAAAUGAAUGAAUGAAUAUCAUUCAGCAAUACAUAUGAAAUCCUUUUUAAAAAUAUGAGAAUAUUAAAGGAAACCAAUGUUCUUGAGGAAGAAAAACUUAUGAAGUGUAAUACACAGAGUCAUGAACACAGGCAAAGCACAAAAUAAAUCUAACUCAAAUAAAGCAGAGCCUGAAGAAUAGUGGUUGAGGGUUUGUUGUGGCAGAGGGCUGGCACAGAGAAUGCUCUCUGUGGAGUAAACUAUUGCAUGGCUGAGGCCUGCAGUCUGGGGGCAGAAACACAGUGCUGCAACAGUCAGUAGGUUGGUGUGUGGGAAGUCUGAGUGUGGGAUGCUGGGACAGGUGUGGACAGGGCGGACGCACAGCCGGAGCAAAAGUGAGGGUGAGUAUGGAGGCAGGCAGGAGACUCAGAAAGGGCUAUGUGUUUUGAAAAAAGCUUGAAGGGGUAAAAAGGAGUUAGGAAGGCAGAGGAGGAAUGAUAUGUGCUUGGGGCAGAGUCAGAGAAGAUCAAGGAAAGUGAGAAGUGACUUCAAAUAUUUUAAACAAACUGUGCAAUAAGCAAACAUUUCUGGAGUUUGCUCUAUACGAAGAGUGUGAUGGGUGCCAGGAAACCUGGUGACUCAGAUAGUCUCUGUCCUCAGGGAGCUCCCAGUAAACAAUUACAAAAUACAGGAGGAAAGUACAAAGGAAGCAGACCUAGCCCAUCAGGGGAAGCUGACACCUGAGUUUUGAACAAUGAGUAGGUGAGGCUGGGCAGUCCAAGGCUGUGCACAGGUUGGAGGGCAAGAGAGAAUGGUGUGCUGGGGUGGGGCUGUGUGUACUGUAAUUAGCUCAAUAUAGCCAAAACAGGGCAAGAGCUGGGAGGAGUGACAGGAAAGAGAACACAAAAGGGGCUCCCGUGGAUGCUGGUACCACUCUUCCUUAAUCUGGGUGCUGGUUACUCAACGUUUCGUGAAAAUUCACGUAUCUGUACACUAAUGAGUUAUACAUUUUUCCGUAUAUAUGUCAUACUUCAAUAAAAAGUUACAAUCCGGCUGGGCGUGGUGGCUCACCCCUGUAAUCUCAGCACUUUGGGAGGCCGAGGAGGGUGGAUCACAAGGUCAGGAGUUCGAGACCAGCCUGGCCAAUAUGGUGAAGCCCCAUCUCUACUAAAAAUACAAAAAUUAGCCGGAUGUGGUGGCGGGCGCAUGUAGUCCCAGCUAUUCGGGAGGCUGAGGCAGGAGAAUCUCUUGAACCUGAGAGGUGGAGGUUGCAGUGAGCCGAGAUCACGCCACUGCACUCCAGCCUGGGAGACACAGCAAGAGUCCGUCUCAAAAAAAACAAAAACAAAAAAAAAGUUACAAUCCAAAAAGUCUCAGCAAGCAGGUAGGAGUCAGAUCACGGAGGGCUAAGCUUGCACAGUCAUCCAAAAACAUCUACCUACAGGCCCAGACAGGAUACCUGAAAUCAUGUCUGAAAUGGCAGCCUCAUGUGGGCAAGAGCUAGGGCAUCACGCUGGCCUAACCAGAAGGAACUGUGCCAAGAGGACUAAGAGUUUUACCCCAAAAUGAUAUAACCUACCAUUUGCUAGGGCAGCCCAGAUGCACAGGCACUAGGCUUUCUAUAUAAGCCUUGAUAUUUAGCCUUAUCCUAGGGAUAUUAGAGUAAAUCAGUCAAAUGUGUAUGUACAUUGGCUGUAGUAUCAGGAAAUUUCAUUAUCUACUCAAUCUAGCUUUGAAUAUGUUAUGUUUUCUAACUCUCUAUUUGUGUCAGGGUGGGGGCCAAAAGCCUCAGCAAGACCGGGGGUAAUACUUUGCCUCCAGGGACUGCACCUCACAGCGAUCUGGGCCUGGGUGGGUGGCACAGCUACAGGAGUGAGCAGGAAUGUAAUGAGGUGGGGCCAUGGGGACUGGUUCAGGACAGGGACUUCAAGUGGAGUAAUCAGAGAAUAAAGAGAUUGGGUCACAGGUGAUGAUCUAUACCAAGACAGGCAGAAACGCACUGGAAUGUAGUCAAAAGGGCUCAGGUCCCACAGGACUAUCAGAAAAGGAAGUUGCACCAGGGUGUGGGGCAACAAGUGAGACUGCCCAGGAGGAGGAGGAGAUCCUGGGGGCAGGGCCAAUGUAUUACAUUCCUUGCCAAGUGUGUUCUUUUAACGGGGCAGCCUCUCUCAGAGCAAUCCGUACAUAUCAGUGAUAACGAUGAUAAUUUAUUGAGCACUUACUCUGUUCCAGCCAUGACUGUAAGCACUUUACUUGCCUUAAGCCAUUUAGUCUUCUCAAUAAUUCCAUGAAGUGGGUACAAUUACUGUCCCCAUUUUACAGAUAAUGAAACUGAAAGACAGAGAAGUUAUUUGUCUGGGGUCACGAAACUAGUGAAUGAGAGCAAUAGGAUUUAAACCAAAUGGUUUUACUUCAGACCCCAUGUUCUGACUGCAUCACUGGGCCACCCUCUUGAUCUCAAUCAAGCACCAUAAAAAUAACAAUAGGCAGAGCAACUAGUUAUUGAGUGGAUUCUGCUAAGGAAGCACGCUAAGCAUUUUAUAUUUCUUAUUUAUUCCUCCACUAUCUCUAGGAGGUAGAUAUUCUGGGAUCAAACUGAGGCUCUUGAGGCUGCAUGAUUUGCUCAAGGCUACAGAGCUGGUAAUUAGAAUAAGCAGGCUUUGAAGUUGGGUUGACCUGACAAAAACUGAGUCCUUGAGUCCUCUAUGACUCCUUCCAUUGGCAGGGCUUUGGCCUACAGGAACCUCAACUCGAAGUGAUGGGAUCACCAGGCCUCAGGAUCAUCACUCUUCCAUUGUUCCUCUAAGGCUAGGCUCCAGGAAGAGAACCUCAUUGAAACCUCCCAGGUCUCCCUAUAAGGCCUAUAAGGAUGCUAACAAUCAUGAGGUCUCUUUUAUUUUUUAAUUUUUUUUACAUGGUCUCACUCUGUUGCCUAGAUUGGAGCUCAGUGACGCGGUCAUAGUUCACUACACUCAAACUCCUGGGCUCGAGUGAUCUGAGGGAUCUUUUAAAAGGGAGGAUACUAUUAAAAAUAGCAACCAAUACCAUCUGAGCAGUUAUUACACGCCUCCAUACCAUUCAUUCUUUAUAUUCACUCUAUAAGGCAGACACUCUUUCAUCCCCAUGCUGCAGAUAAGGAAACUGAGGCUUAGAAUUGUUAAGUGACUUGCCCAAGGUGAUAGAGCCAGGAGACAGUGGAGCUGGGAUUAGCCACCAGAUCUGUCUAACAUGAGAGCAGCCUGGGCUCUUAAUCAUGCUUGAAUACCUUCUGAUAGCACUGAUCCUUCUUUCUCCUUGGCAAGCAAGUCCUGUCACAUGGCCUUUUUUGGUGGCAUAAGGAAAGCUGGAAGAACCCUUAGGUGGCAAACUUCAAGAAUAUCUCGCUGUUGACAAACACCAAUGGUGAAAAAGCAGGACCAUCUAUUAGCAUCUGUUUGUCUGUUUUCCUUUUUAAAGCCUAAUGAAGACUACUUCCCAAGGAAGGAGUUUUUAAUUAGCUCACUGAAAGGCAGAGUACACUUUGCCCAAGCAACAGCCUUCAAAGCGAAACUUAAGCUGCUCCACUAAACUAAUAUCAACCUGCCCAAAGACCUGUGUUCCCCAGCCAACACUACAAUAAGGACAUCACAAUACAAUGGCCCGAGGCUUGUCCUGGCCUGCAUCUCUCAGAGUGUCCCAGGCAACCCUGGGCUGCCACAAAGGAAGCCAGGGGAAAGCAAGCAGCAAGAGUCAAGGGGACAAAGCAAACAAGGUCACUCCCUUCUGUGGUGUAUCUGCUCCAUGGAAGUCUGGGGAGCAUUGCUAAGUUUACUUCCACUGCCCCUAUCGUCUUAUCAAUCAAGUUAAUUUAAUUUCGUUUUUAAUUAUGUACUCACUGAAGAAACUUUGGAAAAAAAACAUAUGAGGCCGGGCGUGGUGGCUCACGCAUGUAAUCCCAGCACUUUGGGAGGCCAAGGCGGGUGGAUCACCUGAGGUCAGGAGUACAAGACCAGCCUGACCAACAUGGAGAAACCCCGUCUCUACUAAAAAUGCAAAAUUCGGAUGUGGUGGCGCAUGCCUGUAAUCCCAGCUAUUCGGGAAACUGAGGCAGGAGAAUCACCUGAACCCGGGAGGCAGAGGUUGUGGUGAGCCGAGAUUGUGCCAUUGCACUCCAGCCUGGGGAACAAGAGCAAAACUCCAUCUCAAAAAAAAAAAAAACAAAAAAAAAAAAACUACAUAUCUAUACGAAAAGGAAAUAAAACUCACCCAUGAACUUAAUCUACAGGAACAAGUAUUAUCCUUUUGGGAUCUAUUUUCUAACUAUUUUUGUUGCUUUAACAUAGUUGAGAUUCAUUAAAAUGCUGGGCACAGUGGCUCACACCUGUAAGCCCAGCACUUUGGAAGGCUGAGGCAGGUGGAUUGCUUGAGGCUUAGAGUUCAAGACUAGCCUGGACAACAGAGCAAGAUAUGGUCUUUACAAAAAACCUUUAAAAUUCCGAGAUUGCACCACUGCACUCCAGCCUGGACAACAGAACAAGACUCUGUCUCAAAAAAAAAAAAAAAGAAAGAAAGAAGGAAAAAAAGAAAGAAAAAAACCCAACUAGGCAUGGUGGUGCAUGCCUGUCGUCUCAGCUACAUGGGAGGAUGGGGUGGGAGGAUCACUUGAGCCUAGGAGUGUGAAGUUACAGUGAGCUAUGACUGUGCCACUGCACUUCAGCCUGAGUGGCCUGGGUGACAGAGUAAGACCCUGUCUCCAAAAAACAAAAUUAGAUUAAAAAAAAUACAUAUAUAUAAUAUAUAUAUAUAUAUACACACAUACACAAUUUUACAUUGUUUAAAAAAACAUUUAUUUUCAUGUAGUUUAAAAUUAUAUUUAAAUAUCAUGUGCAUAAUAUUCUACUACAUGGGUAAACCAUAUUUUACUUAACCACUCCUC
rnacentral:lncRNA from 10 species